CCCUAUGGGGCGCACCAUUUCCUUUAUACCUGAAUAAUACUUCAGAUUAUUUAAUUGGAAAGGAAAUUACUGCUGAUAUUUUUGAUGAUUUAGAGGAUAUAAUAAAUAGCGAGAUAUCUCCUAUAGAUGAUGUAAGAGGAAGUGCAGAAUAUAAGCGAGUUUUAUUAUUUCAAUUGAUUAAGAUGCAUUUUAUCAAAUAUUAUCCCCAAUUAAUCGAAGAUUUAGUAUGAAUAAUUUUGAUUAUAUAAAACAUUUACGUGGAGAAUCAGUAUUCAUAGAUGAUGUGCCUGUGCCGCAAGGAACUCUAUAUGCAUAUAUUUAUGGAGCUGAAUAUGCUAACGGAAAAAUAAUAUCAUUGGACAUGAAAGAAGCGGAAAAAUGUGAAGGGGUAAAAUGCAUACUAACAUAUAAAGAUAUUCCGGGAGAAAACCAAAUUGGCGGGGGGGC
rnacentral:rRNA from 1 species